rnacentral:rRNA from 1 species
UACGUAGGGUGCGAGCGUUAAUCGGAAUUACUGGGCGUAAAGCGUGCGCAGGCGGUUUUGUAAGACAGAUGUGAAAUCCCCGGGCUCAACCUGGGACCUGCAUUUGUGACUGCAAGGCUAGAGUACGGUAGAAGGGGAUGGAAUUCCGCGUGUAGCAGUGAAAUGCGUAGAUAUGCGGAGGAACACCGAUGGCGAAGGCAAUCCCCUGGACCUGUACUGACGCUCGUGCACGAAAGCUAGGGUAGCAAAUGGG